AUACGUAGGGUGCAAGCGUUAAUCGGAAUUACUGGGCGUAAAGCGUGCGCAGGCGGUUUUGUAAGACCGAGGUGAAAUCCCCGGGCUCCACCUGGGAACUGCCUUUGUGACUGCAAGGCUAGAGUACGGCAGAGGGGGAUGGAAUUCCGCGUGUAGCAGGGGAAUGCGUAGAUAUGGGGAGGGACACCGAUGGCGAAGGCAAUCCCCUGGGCCUGUUCUGACGCUCAUGCACGAAAGCGUGGGGAGCAAACAGGAUUAGAUACCCUGGUAGUCCACGCCCUAAACGAUGUCAACUGGUUGUUGGGUCUUCAUUGACUCAGUAACGAAGCUAACGCGUGAAGUUGACCGCCUGGGGAGUACGGCCGCAAGGUUGAAACUCAAAUGAAUUGACGGGG
rnacentral:rRNA from 1 species